UACGUAGGGGUCGAGCGUUGUCCGGAGUUACUGGGCGUAAAGCGUGCGCAGGCGGCUCAUCGCGCUCGGCGUGAAAGCCCCCGGCUCAACCGGGGAGGGUCGUCGAGGACGGGUGAGCUUGAGGGUAUCAGGGGUUGGUGGAAUUCCCGGUGUAGUGGUGAAAUGCGUAGAGAUCGGGAGGAACACCCGUGGCGAAGGCACUCUACUGGGCCAUUACUGACACUGAGAGACGAAAGCUAGGGGAGCAAAUGGG
rnacentral:rRNA from 1 species